GCUGACCCCUGGGAUGCCUAUGAUGCCAAAGUGGUGAGCCCAGAGAAGGGGAACCUGUGGGAUUGCCAGGAGCCCCAGCAGCCCAGAGAGGGGAACACCAAUACAAACCUGACCCGCAGCAACCCAGACAGGGGGGCCUCCAGGAGCCCGAAGUGGAGAGACCAGAGAGGGGAAACUGAGGGUUGGGUAUUUUUGCUGCAUCUUGGUAAUUUGUGCAUUUUGAGGGACUGAAUCUUGGUGUUUUGGGGGUUUACAUGGGCACCAAAUUCCCAGUGACUUCUAGAGUGUGAAGGUGCAGGGGCCCAACACUGGAACUGUAAUACCUCAGGGCAAAGGUGACCAGAGUCAGAGAGAGACACCCCUCUGAGGACAAUGGUCUCACCAUCAGCAUUUGCAGGCUCAUGUUAAUGCAGCAGCCUUCAUUGGUAUCACCCAGUCCAGCUGCCCUUUUUUCCUUAUAUGUACUCCCCUUAGAAUGUUCUCCCCUCUCUUGUCCCCCAUUGGUCCCGGUUUACUGCAAUGCUCCGCCCCUGUUACCUCAUUGGUUCCCCAGUGGGCUGCCCCUCCUCUGCACCACCUGUGCUCAGUUCCCAUUGGCCCUUGGCCCUCAGACCCGCCCCUUUCCCCCCUUAUCAAACCCUGUGUCCUCAGCCCCAUUUUGUCUCUGUGCCUGGACCCUCUACAUUGCAAUAAACUGUGUUUGGAGCUGUGCACACAGACCCAUCUCUGGUCUUGUCCAUCAGCAGGAUUUCUCAUUCCCAAACCUUGGCCGGAUGGAGGAGGAGGCUGUGAGGAAGAGGAAGAAGCCCUGGAACAUGCAGGCAGAAAAGGAGCUGAGGAUGGAGAGCAGGGAGGAAAAAUCCCCACAGAAGAACCCCAUGGAAGAGGCUGUUCUGAGCAGCUCGACGGCACAGGAAUCCAACAGAGAGGAAAAGCCCCAGAGAUCCCACAGGACCAGGGGCUCCAAACCCAGCCCAGGUUGCUCUGAGGUGGACAGACCCACCCUGUGCCAGGAAGGUGGACAGAGCUUCAGGCAGAGCUGGUGGCCCAUGAGCAGCUUCAUGAUGGGGAGAAGUCCUACAGGUGUUUGGAGUGUGGGAAGAGCUUCAGGAAGAGCAGCACCCUGAUCCGCCACCAGAGGAUCCACACUGGGGAAUGGGCCUACGAGUGUGGGGAGUGUG